rnacentral:misc_RNA from 1 species
AAGUCGUAACAAGGUUUCCGUAGGUGAACCUGCGGAAGGAUCAUUAUCGAGAGAGGGGCUUCGCGCUCCCGGGGGUUUGCCAGCCCCAACCUCAUCACCAUGCCAAUCUUAUCCGUUGUUGCUUUGGCGGGAUUCCGGGUAUGUCUUGCGUAGGUUUGUCAUAAACCCGUGCGAGAUGUGCCCCGGCGCCCGCCGGAGGCCCAUUAAAAUCUGUUUAUCAGUGAUGUCCGAGUAAAAAACCAAAAUAAAAAA